GUUGGCGUCGGCGUCCGGUUAAGUUUUGCGUUUAGGUCCACUUUUCUCAGAAAGUAUCAAUGCUAUUGCAUUCAAACUUAGUACACUUACUUACUAUCAUGAGGGGACUGGGCAGGCAAAGUAAGAUAACUCUGGCGUGCAUUUUGACAGAGUUAUGUGCCCUUUUUAUACGCCCGUCUAUGACGGGACGUAUUAUGGUAUACCCCGCGUCCGUCUGUCCGUCCGUCUGUCCGUCCGUCCGUCCGUCCGUCUGUUAAUGUCGUACGCUACGUCAAAUAUCCUUUGACAGAUUUUCUUCAAAUUUUAACACAAUCUUAAUAUUGAUAAACCCUGAUCCCCUUUCGUUUUUGACGGAAUUCUGAAUUGUCGUUCCAGAGUUAUGGGACUUUGUUCGUCAAAAUUUCGUGAUUUCAUUGAAUGUCCUACUGUAGCUCAAAUAUCCUUCGAUGGAUUUUUUUCAAAUUUCAACACAAUCUUAAUAUUGAUAAACCCUGAUCCCCUUUCGUUUUUGACGGAAUUCUGAAUUGUCGUUCCAGAGUUAUGGGACUUUGUUCGUCAAAAUUUCGUGAUUUCAUUGAAUGUCCUACUGUAGCUAUAUAAAAAUGUUAAAGUUGUUAUAACUUUGGUAUGCUUGGACCUAGAGUCUUGAAACUUGACAUGAAGGUUGGCCAGAACUAGUAAGUAACCACUGGACAUUUCAAGGUCGUUCAUUUGAAGGUCAAGGUCACUGUGACCUUGAAUGUAAAAAUGUUAAAGUUCUUAUUUCAUGUUAUAACUUUGGUAUGCUUGUACCUAGAGUCUUCAAACUUGAAAUAAAGAUUGGCCAGUACUAGAAGAUGACCACUGGUCAUUUCAAUGUCAUUCAUUUGAAGGUCAAGGUCACUGUGACCUUAAAUGUUAAAAUGUUAAAAUUGUUAUAACUUUGGUAUGCUUGGACAUAGAGUCUUCAAACUUGACAUGAAGGUUUGCAAGCACACUUAGAUGACCACUGGUCAUUUCAAGGUCAUUCAUUCUAAGGUCAAGGUCACUGUGACCUUAAAUGUUAUUGUUGUUCAUGUAUCCUACCGUAGCUCAAAUAUCCCCCGAUGGAUUUUUUAUACGCCCGUCUAUGACGGGACGUAUUAUGGUAUACCCCGCGUCCGUCUGUCCGUCCGUCCGUCCGUCCGUCCGUCUGUUAAUGUUGUACGCUACGUCAAAUAUCCUUUGACAGAUUUUCUUCAAAUUUUAACACAAUCUUAAUAUUGAUAAACCCUGAUCCCCUUUCGUUUUUGACGGAAUUCUGAAUUUUCGUUCCAGAGUUAUGGGACUUUGUUCGUCAAAAUUUCGUGAUUUCAUUGAAUGUCCUACUGUAGCUCAAAUAUCCUUCGAUGGAUUUUUUUCAAAUUUCAACACAAUCUUAAUAUUGAUAAACCCUGAUCCCCUUUCGUUUUUGACGGAAUUCUGAAUUGUCGUUCCAGAGUUAUGGGACUUUGUUCGUCAAAAUUUCGUGAUUUCCAUGCUCAUGUACUUAUAAAAUAAACCAUGUAUUCAAAUACAAAUAAACUGAAGUAAAAAAAUGA